AUGGGAACUCCUCCAAGAGAAGGAGGAGAGAAGAAUUAGGCGAUAUCGAGAGGAGCAGGAUAGAGAGAAAUGAAAUUAUAAUUUGGUACAUGAAAUAAAGAACUUGAAACCAA